UGCUUCAUUAUUCACAGUAUUGACCUGGCUAUUCUAUAUUUUCAUCUCAUACAUCAAGAGAGGAAUGUUAAUCCCCUAUCUGAGUUAAAAGGACAUCAAGUUCCCCAGGUAACCCUCCAUGUGGCAGGAGUAGGUAUGGUGGUAGAAAAGUUUGGCUGUAAAAGGAGCACGACCUGUCUGUGAAUGAGUGUGUAGACAGGCAGUGUGUAGCCAGCCAGUCACAAAAGUAUUCACGCCACCCCAAAUUCAAUGUUCAUGACUUUGCUGAGACAAAAAUUAAGUAGUCUUAACUAGAAAAAAAGUUCUAAAAGAUCUACUGUUUAGAUUACUACUUUUUCAUUGCAUGGACAUACUCUAUUCCUAUGUCUGUCUUUCUUUUGUCCUGCGUUCUACUUGUUCAUAUUUUCUACAUGUAAAAAAAGGCUGACAAAACAUGUGGUCAUGUCCAAAUCUCAUAUUUUGUAACAUAAACGCAAAUACACCACACACACACACACACACACACACACACACGUGCACAUAUAAACACACACAUACUGUGGAAAUACACACAUUCACAUACUUACAUACCACACACAUGCACAUAUGCCACACACAUGCACACAGACACGUACACCCACACAUAUUCCCCACACAUGUAUGCACAGCACACACAACCCUCAUGAUUACAUGCACAUACGCAUACCACACACACAUGCAUGUGCAUAACACCACACACAUGUGCAUGCAAACACACACAUGCCACGCAUAUACACACACCGCACAUAUACACGUACAUGCACAGUAUACUUUGGAAAUCAGAAGAUAAGAAAAAUAUUGUUAACACCACUAAUAUUCCCAGUAGUUUUAUAUUUGCUAGUAUAUUUCAGGUAAUGUUUAACUGACUUCUCUAUGUUUAACAAAUUCUUGAGGGUAUGAGGAUGGAAAUAAAUGCAUUGCAUGUCAUAUUUUGCUUAUGUACUAAGUGAAUGGAAGCUGAAGAAAACAAAGAAAACAUGAAAAAGAAAGGCAGAAGGACGGCAUGAUUAGGGCCAGGGCCACAGACCUGCCUCUGUCACUGAUUUGCUGGGCACAUUCUAUUUCCCAACCUCAGUUCCUUCAUUUGUAAAAUGUGGAGGCUGGAUUAAACCAUAAAGUGAAGUCACUGUUGUGGACUGAAUUGUGCCCAACUCCACCACCAAAUUCAUAUGUUGAAGCCCUAAUCUUCAAUGUGCCUGUAAUUGGAAAUAGGGUCUUUAGAGAGUCCAUUAAGGUAAAAUGAGGUCACAGUGGUAGAGUCCUAAUCCAGUAGGACUGGUAUCCUUUUUAUUUAUUUAUUUAUUUUUUUUUUUUGAGAUGGAGUCUCGCUCUGUCGCCCAGGCUGGAGUGCAGUGGCACGAUCUCGGCUCACUGCAACCUCCACCUCCAGGAUUCAAGCAAUUCUCUGCCUCAGCCUCCUGAGUAGCUGGGAUUACAAGCACCCACCACCAGGCCCAGCUAAUUUUUUUUAUUUUUAGUAGAGACGGGGUUUCACCAUGUUGGCCAGGCUGGUCUUGAACUCCUGACUUUGUGAUCCACCAGCCUGGGCCUCCCAAAGUGCUGGGAUGACAAGCGUGAGCCACCGCACCCGGCCUGGUAUCCUUGUGAGAAGAAAAAGAGACACCAGAGGCACGUAAGCACAGAGGAAAGGUAAUAUGAGGACACAGGAGAAGGUGGUCAUCUGCAAGCCAAGGAGACAGGCCUCAGAAGAAACCAACUCUGCCAACGCCUUAAUCUUGGACACCAGCCUCCAGAACUUGCUUGAGAACAUGCCACUGUUGUCCCUUUGGGCUGGCUACUUCCCUCUUUGAGGCUGCCUUGCCUUUCCAGGGAGGAAUCGCACAAGUUUCCAGAACAUGUCGGGGGGAGGAGCCAAGAUGGCCAAAUAGGAACAGCUCCGGUCUACAGCUCCCAGCAUGAGCGACGCAGAAGACGGGUGAUUUCUGCAUUUCCAUCUGAGGUACCGGGUUCAUCUCACUAGGGAGUGCCAGACAGUGGGCGCAGGUCAGUGGGUGAGCGCACCAUGUGCCAGCCGAA
rnacentral:lncRNA from 1 species